rnacentral:lncRNA from 1 species
AGUUUGCUGAAUUUGCAAUAUACAAGUACUGAACAGCUUCUAUAAGUCACAGUUUUGGGUGACAUGGGUAACAACAAAACAAAUGGAAGGCAGCAUGGGCUUGCCCUGUGGAAGAAAAGCCAGAGAGAGCAAGCAUUCAUACCAACAUUUUAAUGGCAGGACCCAUGAGAUCUGCACCAUGAUCAAGAACAGUGUUUCAGGAUCCAUGGCUGUGAAUCUUUCUCUGGGCAUUUCCCUAACCACCAGAAAUUGCAGUGAGAGCAUAAGAUGAUUUACUGGCUUCCUCUGCUGAAGCCUUAUCAGUGCCAUGCACAAGGCCCCAAUAUCUCCAUGGAGCACAUACUGAAAAAUCAGUCCAUGGGGCCUUAUACAAGACUGA